AUUGAACGCUGGCGGCAGGCCUAACACAUGCAAGUCGAACGAGUGGCGGACGGGUGAGUAAUGUCUGGGAAACUGCCUGAUGGAGGGGGAUAACUACUGGAAACGGUAGCUAAUACCGCAUACCAUCAGAUGUGCCCAGAUGGGAUUAGCUAGUAGGUGGGGUAAUGGCUCACCUAGGCGACGAUCCCUAGCUGGUCUGAGAGGAUGACCAGCCACACUGGAACUGAGACACGGUCCAGACUCCUACGGGAGGCAGCAGUGGGGAAUAUUGCACAAUGGGCGCAAGCCUGAUGCAGCCAUGCCGCGUGUGUGAAGAAGGCCUUCGGGUUGUAAAGCACUUUCAGCGGGGAGGCGUUACCCGCAGAAGAAGCACCGGCUAACUCCGUGCCAGCAGCCGCGGUAAUUC
rnacentral:rRNA from 1 species